rnacentral:lncRNA from 1 species
CAUUGGCCUGCAAUGAGGUCAUUGUUUGGUGUGUUCAAAUCAGUUCUUUUCGGUCAAUACGUCCCGCAAAAAGAACAAUCAAGUAUGGUUGUGUUACUAACAAACAGAGGAUUGCAAUGAAACCAACCAUGACUGGAUAAACGUGUUUUUAGCGGGAGUAAUUACAUCGAAUGCUUCGUGGAAAGUUGAAGGAGUCGGAAUUCAUGACACUAGCCGUUUAGAAAAUGUUUUGUGUUAUGCUAUAAAAAUGGAUUUUAUCGAACAAACUGGGCCUUUUGUAUCACCAAAAGAAGAAGAUCUUCAAAGGACGGUGGUGGCUGGCCCGCUCCAGGAGUCUGAGGUGCGGGAGGUUCCUCAUUUCCCUCUGGACAUCGAGGGAGCCCCGGUGUACUCCGUUCGAAUCCAUGCUGGAUUCGAGAUGUCGGGCGAGGUUCCUUCAGUACCUCGUGGACUGGGAGGGGUACGGUCCAUAGGAGAGAUGCUGGGUUCCGGUGGAUGACGUGUUGGACCCUUCAAUGCCGUGGGAGUUCCACCGUCUCCGUCCGGAUCACCCUGCACCUCGCCCUCCGGGUCGUCCCCGAGGCCGGUGUCUGGAGCCGCACGUCAAGGGGGGGAGUACUGUCACGACUUCCACCGAAGUCAUUUCCUCUCCUUGUUUGGGCGGCGUUCGGCGGUCGGCUUCACCGGUCUUCUAGCCAUCAUCAAUCCAUUUUUCAUUUUCCAUUUGUUUUGUCAUGUUUUCCUACGCACCUGGUUUCCAUUUCCCUCAUUGUUUGUUGUGUAUUUCACCCUCUGUUCCCCCCAUGUCUUUUUGUGGGAUUGUUUGUUGUAAGUGCUUGUGCACUUGUUUACUGGUGCGCGUCGGGUUUUGUACCCAUAUUCUGUUGUAUUUUUAUGCUUUUGGUUUUUGGAUUAAACUGCUCCGGCUACUACCCAGUUCUGCUCUCCUGCGUCUGACUUCCCUGCCACCAGUUACGCACCCUCUUACACUAAGAACUUUGCACACCUGGAUUGCACAAUAUUUUCCCAUAAUAUUGUUUUAUAAAUUCUUCAAGCUCUGUCAAAUUGGUUGUUGAUCAUUUCUCGACAACCAUUUUUCAUGUCUUGCUGUAGAUUUUCCACUCAGGAAUAUUCACUGUCUUCUUGGUAUGCAACUCCAGUGUAGAUUUGGCCUUGUGUAUGAUGUUAUUUUCCUGCUGAAAGGUGAAUUAAUCUUCCAGUGUCAGGUGGAAAGCAGACUGAACCAGGUUUCCUCUAGGAUUUUGUUUGUGCUUAUUUCCAUUCCGUUUCUUUUUUAUCCUCAAAAACUCCCAAGUAUGUAACGAUUACAAGCAUACCCAUAAAAUGUUUCAGCCUCCAUUGUACAUGAAAAUAUGGAGAGUAAUACUCAGAUAUGUGUUAUAUUGGAUUUCCCCCAAACAUAAUAUUUUGUAUUCAAGAAAAAGUGAAUUGCUUUGCCACAUUUUUUGCAGUAUUACUUUAGUGCCUUGUUGCAAACAGGAUGCAUGUUUUGAAAUAUGUUUUAUCUGUACAGGCUUCCCUCUUUUCACUCUGUAAAUUAGGUUAUUUGUAACUACAAUGUUGUUGAUUCAUACUCGGUGUUCUCCAAUCACAGCCAUUUAACUCUGUAAAUGGUUUAAAAUCGCCAUUGGCCUCAUGGUGAAAUCCCUGAGCGGUUUCCUUCCUCUCCGGAAUCUGAGUUAAGAAGGACGUCUGUAUCUUUGAAGUGACUAGGUGUCGAUACACCAUCCAAAGUGUAAUUAAUAAAUUCACCAUGCUCAGACGGAUAUUCAAUGUCUGCAUUUUUUUCUAUCCAUGUACCAAUAGGUGCCCUUCUU